rnacentral:rRNA from 1 species
UGGGGAAUCUUGCGCAAUGGGCGAAAGCCUGACGCAGCAACGCCGCGUGAGCGAAGAAGGCCUUCGGGUUGUAAAGCUCUGUCAGGGGGAAAGAAGGCACCUGGGUUAAUAGCCCAAGGGCUGACGGUACCCCCAAAGGAAGCCACGGCUAACUACGUGCCAGCAGCCGCGGUAAUACGUAGGGGGCAAGCGUUGUCCGGAAUCAUUGGGCGUAAAGCGCGCGUAGGUGGCUUGUCAGGUCUGAUGUGAAAUUUCGGGGCUCAACCCCGAACGUGCAUCGGAAACCGGCUUGCUAGAGUCUGGGAGAGGAGAGUGGAAUUCCUGGUGUAGCGGUGAAAUGCGUAGAUAUCAGGAGGAACACCGGUAGCGAAGGCGGCUCUCUGGAACAGUACUGACGCUGAGGCGCGAAAGCUAGGGGAGCGAACAG